ensembl:lncRNA
AUUUAUAUUACCAUGCCUUUCUUACUGGGCCAGCAAAUAGACGUAUGUUUUUGGUUACUGAGGAAACAUUCUCUGUAUACUUCAAGGCUGCAUGUACCUUAUUUAACAUUAACACAUGAUGAAUAUACCCUCUCUGUCGUCCUCAGCUCUUCUUGUUCACUGACGGUGAGGUGGGGAACACCAAGGAAGUCCUGGAUCUGGUGAAGGCAAAUGCCGGCUCUCACAGGUGCUUCUCCUUUGGGAUUGGAGAGGGGGCCAGCAGGGCGGAAGGCACGCACAGUUUAUCACAGGACAGGACAGGAUGCAGCCCAAAGUAAGAGAGCUUGUGUGUGUACAGUCGUGGCCCAAAGUUUUGAGAAUGACACAAAUAUUAAUUUUCACAAAGUCUGCUGCCUCAGUUUGUGUGAUGACAAUUUACAUAUACUCCAGAAUGUUAUGAAGAGUGAUCAGAUGAAUUGCAAUUCAUUGUAAAGUCCCUCUUCAGCAGUAAAAUAAAGGUCCAAUUAUUUUUUUUUAAAUAACAUUCUCUCGUUAACACAGGUGUGAGUGUUGACGAGGACAGGGCUGGAGAUCACUGUCAUGCUGAUUGAGUUUGAAUAACAGACUGGAAGCUUCAAAAGGAGGGUGGUGCUUGGAAUCAUUGUUCUUCCUCUGUCAAUCAUGGCUACCUGCAAGGAAACACGUGCCGUCAUCAUUGCUUGGCACAAAAAGGGCUUCACAGGCAAGGAUAUUGCUGCCAGUAAGAUUGCACCUAAAUCAACCAUUUAUCGGAUCACCAAGAACUUCAAGGUGAGCGGUUAAAUUGUUGUGAAGAAGGCUUCAGGGCGCCCAAGAAAGUCCAGCAAGCACCAGGACCGUCUCCUAAAGUUGAUUCAGCUGCGGGAUUGGGGCACCACCAGUACAGAGCUUUCUCAGGAAUGGCAGCAGGCAGGUGUGAGUGCAUCUGCACGCACAAUGAGUUGAAGACUUUUGAAGGAUGGCCUGGUGUCAAGAAGGGCAGAAAAGAAACCACUUCUCUCCAGGAAAAACAUCAGGGACAGACUGAUAUUCUGCAAAAGGUACAGGGAUUAGACUGCUGAGGACUGCGGUAAAGUACUUUUCUCUAAUGAAUCCCCUUUCCGAUUGUUUGGGGCAUCUGGAAAAAAGCUUGCCUGGAGAAGACAAGGUGAGCGCUACCAUCAGUCCUGUGUCAUGCCAACAGUAAAGCAUCCUGAGACCAUUCAUGUGUGGGGUUGCUUCUCAGCCAAGGGAGUGUGCUCACUCACAAUUUUGCCUAAGAACACAGCCAUGAAUAAAGAAUGGUACCAACACAUCCUCCGAGAGCACCUUGCCAUAAGGCAAAAGUGAUAACUUUGUGGCUCGGGGAACAAAACAUUGAUAUUUUGGAUUCAUGGCCAGGAAACUCCCCAGACCUUAAUCCCAUUGAGAACUUGUGGUCAAUCCUCAAGAGGUGGGUGGACAAACAAAAACCCACAAAUUCUGACAAACUUGAUUAUGCAAGAAGUUAAUUGACAUGCUAGGGUAGGAUUGCAGAGGUCUUGAAAAAGAAGGGUCAACAACUGCAAAUAUUGACUCUUUGAAUCAACUUCAUGUAAUUGUCAAUAAAAGCCUUUGACACUUAUGAAAUGCAUGUAAUUAUCAUUCAGUAUUCCAUAGUAACAUCAGACAAAAAUAUCUAAAGACACUGAGGCAGCAGACUUUGUGAAAAUGUAUAUUUGUGUCAUUCUCAAAACUUUUGGCCACCUUAUUUGCAAUUUAAAA